ACUUUAGCAAUGAUCAGAAAAGUAGUUUAUGUAAUCUUCGUUAAGCGAGCCGUGGACAGUGGAAGCAUGGUCAAGACCAUAAAUGAAACACAUCUGUAAGUUGAUAACUUGAACAAUUAAUUAGAGUUAUCCGGUAAUUCCGUUAUCAUUUAAGUUAAUUAACUUUCUGAGGUUGGUUGCGUGAGCAAUUAACAAACUUGAGGUGGAACCGCGAUUGAACUCGUCCUCUUA
rnacentral:ncRNA from 1 species